rnacentral:tRNA from 1 species
CAGGGUAUAUCUCAGUUGGUAGAGUGUUUGCCUUGCAUGCACAAGGCCCUGGGUUCAAUCCCCAGUACCAGGA